rnacentral:lncRNA from 1 species
GACUCCUCCAUCGCAAGAGCCCAACAGCUCAAACAACCCAGCUCCAUCAAACCCGACGAAAAUGCUCUCACCGCCCCCUCUGCAUCCGCCGCCGUCGUGAAAUCACCUCUUUCUGCUAAAAGCUACGGCGGAUACUCCGUCUCACUCAGCUUCGGCACACCGUCGCAGACAAUCCCUUUCGUGUUCGAUACCGGAAGCAGCCUCGUCUGGUUCCCUUGCACCUCACGUUAUCUCUGCACCGGAUGCGGUUUCUCCGGGUUGGAUCCGGGUCGGAUCCGUAGAUUCAUCCCCAAGAACUCCACCUCGUCACGGGUUAUCGGGUGUCAGAAUCCGAAAUGCCAGCUUCUGUUCGGACCCAAUGUUAAAUGCAGUGGAUGUGACCCGAGUACCCGUAACUGCACCGUCGGUUGCCCACCGUACAUUCUCCAAUACGGAUUAGGAUCAACGGCUGGGAUUUUACUAUCCGAGAAGCUUGAUUUCCCGGAUCUAACCGUACCCGAUUUCGUCGUCGGAUGCUCCAUUUUGUCUACCCGACAACCCGCUGGUAUCGCCGGGUUUGGACGCGGACCCGAAUCUCUCCCUGUGCAGAUGAAGCUCAAGAGAUUCUCGCAUUGCUUGGUUUCCCGCCGGUUCGACGAUACCGAUGUGAGCACGGAUCUCGAUCUGGAUACCGGGUCGGGUCAUAAUGCCGGGUCGAAAACUCCGGGUCUAAGCUACACGCCGUUUCGAAACAACCCCAAUGUCUCCAACGCUGCGUUUCUUGAGUACUACUACCUCAAUCUCCGUCGAAUCUACGUCGGAAGCAAGCGCGUGAAGAUCCCCUACAAGUUCCUCGCGCCGGGGCCCGACGGAAACGGAGGGACCAUCGUCGAUUCCGGAUCCACAUUCACUUUCAUGGAUCGACCCGUUUUCGAGCUCGUUGCUGAAGAGUUCGCGGCGCAGAUGUCGAGUUACAGCAGAGAAAAGGACUUGGAGAAGAUCACCGGACUUGGACCGUGUUUCAAUAUCUCCGGCAAGGGAUCACUGACGGUGCCGGAGUUAAUCUUCGAGUUCAAAGGUGGAGCUAAAAUGGAGCUGCCGUUGUCUAACUACUUCACGCUUGUCGGAAGCGUUGAUAACGUCUGUUUAACGGUGGUUUCUGAUAACACCGUGAGUUCCACCGGUGGUCGGAGUGGUCCGGCGAUUAUUCUCGGGAGUUUUCAGCAACAGAACUAUCACGUGGAAUACGAUUUGGAGAAUGACAGGUUUGGGUUCGCGAAGAAGAAGUGUAUCCAGUGAGUUUCCAGGGGUAGAUUUGGAAAUUUAACUUUCCCAAUGAUGAGAACAGUUUUAUGAUUUUAAUUUCUUUUCCAAAUAAAAAGAGUUGUUAACUGUUUAUAAUUAUGUUUACCAUUGCUACUUUUACAUAAUUUUCAUGAUUAAAAGUAUUAUUUGGCCAGAUUAUAAAAAGUUUAGCCGGCAAAUUUUUUAUGUAAUUAUAAAAAUAUCAAAUGUAGUAAAUAUCCUCCUCCAUCGCAAGAGCCCAACAGCUCAAACAACCGAGCUCCAUCAAACCCGACGAAAAUGCUCUCACCGCCCCCUCUGCAUCCGCCGCCGUCGUGAAAUCCCCUCUUUCCGCUAAAAGCUACGGCGGAUACUCCGUCUCGCUCAGCUUCGGCACGCCGUCGCAGACAAUCCCUUUCGUGUUCGAUACCGGAAGCAGCCUCGUCUGGUUCCCUUGCACCUCACGUUAUCUCUGCACCGGCUGCGGUUUCUCCGGGUUGGAUCCGACCCGGAUACCUAGAUUCAUCCCCAAGAACUCCACCUCGUCGAC